rnacentral:lncRNA from 1 species
CCUGUUCUUGAUAUCUCUGUCAGCAAGAACGGGAGCAACAGAGUUCCCAUUUCCACCUCUCCAUUGAAGAAGCAGAAGAAGAAGAAGAAGGUCAUGUCAGAGACUCAGUGCUGUGAGAACCCUCCGACGCGGAGCACCAUGAGCGUCGGAAUCGGAUGUGUGGCAGAGAUCGGAGGCUUGAAAGCCUACAUCACCGGCCCCCCUGAUGCUAAGCUUUCCGUCCUCCUCGUCUCCGACGUUUUCGGUACAAUUCCCUUUCAUGGGUUCUCGCUCUAUCAAAAAAAUUUCUCUCGAUUUCCGAAUCAGCCUUUGCGUUUGUGGGUGUUCCAGUUCUAUCGUUAGAUAAAAAUCUUUUUUUUUUUUUUGGGGGGGGGUGGCGGGGAAGAGUAUUCCUCUUCCGGACUCGAUUGCUACAAGCAGAAUCUGGACUUCUUUUGGGUCUCGUAACUGUCUUGCCUUUGCAUAAAGUUUGUUAAUUUGUUGCGAGAAAACUUGAGCUAAGCAUGUGUUGCAGAAACCCACAUUUUUUGUUUUAAAUGUUCUCUGCUCUGGCCAGUCAAGCUGAUGCAUAUUCCAGUUUUAAUGGAGUCUGAUAUUAUAUUUCUCUGGCUUUAUUCUGAUGUAACUGAAUCCAUGUUUCUUUUUUUGCAGGUUAUGAAGCACCAAAGCUGAGGUAAGCUGUCGUCCAACCCCAUCCCACUGGCUGGAAUUAGAGAACAAACCCUCUCCAUAACUCCAAUUGGUCAGCUUAGUCUUGAGUCUCGUCCAUGUCAUGUGUGCUUGGCGUAACAUAUCUAUCUAGCUACAUUUACUGAAAGCAAUUUUUCUAUUGUCAGAUUUCAUUUCUGUAGUCUUUGAUUCUCAGGCAACGUUAUUAUUUCAAUUUGUUGUAGUUCUCUUUGAUGAGGAACGAACGCAUAUACACAUUCAUGGAUCACGUUGACUGAUAUGGCGCAAAUUGAUGGAAAGGUCGGACUGGAGCCAACUUUCUUGAUGACUGAGUUAACAACAUAUUUGUGAAUCUAAAUGGAUAUUGUGCUAAUGAACUACAUGUAGUAAUUCAAGUCUCAAAAUCUUCUUUUACUUUUAUUUCACAGAUGAAUUCCUUCAGAAAAGGUUUGCACAUAAAGUUUUCAUUGGAAUUAGGUUUUUGUGCAAGAAACUGCCCCAUUUAUUAACACUAACAGAUUCUUAGUAUACAAGCUCGAGCAAAGCAAGCAGAAUUAAUCACUACUUAUAAGUUUUAUCAUGAGCAACUCAACCGACUUCAUGAAGAAGUUAUUUCUUUAUUGUUAACGACCUCAUUGAAUAGAUUAUGUUAAUUUCUCCUUCACUCUGAUUAGUUGACAUCUCAACUCCUCUUGUAUUUAUUUUUUGCUGAUGCUUGAAGGGAAUUGGCUGGUUGUCUGCUCUGUCUCCCCUCAAGUUUUUGCUUAUUUGGUCUGAUCAUAAACUCUAAAUACGUAAGGCAUUUCUCAGAAUGUUCUUAAAGUAAAAGAUGCUGGCUUCUAGUGGCUUGUGUUCAAUCAAUCCUCACACAAUUUAAGCGAAGAAAUCCUCCAGCUUUUUCAAAACAAAAGAUAAUCGGUGCCAAACUCUCUGGGUAAUGUCUCUGCACGUUAGAUGAUAAUGAUAUCUGGGGUGCCGGUGUUUCAUGAAAUUGCGUCAUCUGAGAUGCCUUUACACGAGAUGUUAUGAUCCUUUUCCGAGUUCAGAGUUUGUCCUGAGAGUAUAAUUUUGUCAUCCUUCUUGUAUGAAGCUUUUAGCUUAACUUAUUAUAGAUGCCUCCUUUUGCUUAUGUGCAGUUUUCUGGAUUUUCUCAUUGAUAGAUCUGCGUCAUCACUGAAUUCUUUAUCAAAGACAGCAUUUUAAUCUGCAUUUAUUAGCUUUUCAAAUUUUGCAAGUGACGACAUAUUGAGUGUUAUUUUGCUGCAUAUAGCAAUGCUGAACAUGCCAAUGAUUCUUUACAUACUAUAUAAACUUAACCUUGUAUGCUUGUGAUUUCAAGGAAGCUUGCAGACAAGGUGGCCUCUUGUGGAUUCUAUGUGGUGGUUCCAGACUUCUUUUAUGGAGAUCCCUAUGUACCUGAUAAUCCUGAGAGGCCUAUUGCAGUGUGGAGACAAUCUCAUGGAACUGUACGCUUUAAUUUUCAGUUCAAGUCUCUAUCUGUUUAAGGGUCUUCCUAUACCUAAUGAAACUUAUGAGACAUUUAUGUUUUCCAUUGCGUGUUUUUCCUACUUAUAAAUUAGUGGUUUUCUUGGAUUUCAAUUUUCUCAAUUUACAUAUGGAUUCUACUUAUAUUCUUUCUUCUGUAAGAGAGCUAACCCUGAAAGUUCUGCUACAGAAGUAUUUUUGUCAUAUUACUUGCCAUUCUUGUAUAGGUAAAGGAUUUGAAGAUGCCAUAAGAGUUGUUUCUGCACUGAGAAGUGAAGGUGUAUCUGCCAUUGGAGCUGCAGGAUUUUGCUGGGGUGGUGAGUCUUCUUGUUGCCUUGUUCCACAAGUUUUAUCCUGAUGUGUUCCUCCAAAUAUUCUGGAUAAAACUCUUAACUUUGAUGUUUGAUUAUCAGCAAAGGUGGUUGUGGAACUAGGGAAGUCUGAUUACAUUCAAGCUGUGGUUCUGCUACACCCUUCACGAGUCACUGUGGAGGAUAUUAAGGGUGGGUAAAGCUAAGCAAAGAAGCAGAAUCCACAUUUUCAGCGAAUUUAGCCUAAAAUAGUCCAUGCAUUUGUCCUCUUGGGUGUUUUCUUGGAUGAAACAAAGAUGUCAUUGUCGUUAAACAAACUAGAUUGCCUGACAUGGGUGAUCUUAUCCUAUUGAUUUGCAUAUGGUAAUGACAGACGUAAUUGUUCGGUUGACUAGUUGAGAGCCCUCAUUUUGUGUCUGAAGAACUGAAGCUUUUAGAGAAGUAGGUAGUAGUUUACCUAAAAGCCGGAGAAUCUUGAGAUGGCAAAAUAACUUUCUGCCAUCAUUUUUACAAUAACUAACUUUCAGCAGUUAUCUUUUAAAAGGUCUUGAUUUUAUUACGUAAGUGAAUAUGGUUACAGACUUUGGUCUCAAAAGUUUGGCAGAGAAAUUGACAUUAUGUUUUGCUUUACAUUGACUAAGAAAACCAGCCAAUACUUCGUUGCGUGUAUAUUAAGUGGGAGCUUUCUUCACUCAAUGAUAGAAUGUACUGCUAGAGGCUCCAUGUCAUUGUCAUGGACAAUCUCACGUGAUAAAUUUAUAAUGAUGAUGCUUAUGGAUAUCAGAGAAUAUAAGCAAUUUCACAUGAUCACUUAGAAGUUAUGUAGGUGGUGAUCUAACGCUGUUAUUUUCAGAGGUCAAGGCUCCCAUAGCUGUAUUGGGCGCUGAGUACGACAAAUUGUCUCCACCAGAGCUUCUCAAGCAGUUUGAGGAAAUCUUAUCCGCUAAACCGGAGGUAAACAUCUCCAUCCCUGCUGUUAAUGCCCGUGUUUGCAUUCUAAGUACUAUACUUUAUGCUUUGAGAUCACUUCCUUGAACUCGUAUACUUUGAGUGCCCCUCAUGAAAUGGAGUUAAGCAGUAAGAGUACGCUCACGUGAAUUGGGAAAUUGCUCUCUAUGGAUCAUAAACGGACAUGAAUCUGAGGCUGCGAGAUCUGUUACCUUCUGCAGGUCGAUGGGUGCGUCAAGAUUUUUGCUGGGGUGGAGCAUGGUUGGACUGUGAGGUAUAAAGACGAAGACGCAGCAGAGGUGAAGUCCGCUGAAGAAGCCCAUAAGGACAUGCUGGACUGGUUCAAUAAGCACUUGAAGUGAAGAUGAACUUGGUCACCUUCUACUGUGUCUACAUAUCCAAGGAAGAGAAUGACAAAGCACGACCGUUCCUUGCAGUGGCGGCCUAUCUUCUGAUGGAGUUGAACACUGAUUAGGGAAUGUAUUCCUUAUGCAGAUGUAACUUAGCUUAGAAUAAACAGAGCCUGGCCUUUCGUGUCUUGAGAUAGAUGGAAGAGCUUUGUGAGUUCUUUGAGUUUGCGAAGGGGCAUUGCUCACUCUCUUGUACAUAGCAUGUAGUGCCUGGGUAAACUAAAACCUGUAUAUUUUCCUACCAUGUAGUAUCUGUGAGCAUAUAAAUUUAUAGGUUGUGGUAAUAUUUGUACAAUGUUGAUAAGCACGCAAAGAAUACUGACGUGCACAAAACUCCUUUGUUGGUCCAACCACAGUGCGAGGCUUCAAAGGAUCUAGAUUGAUCACUGAAGAAUUUAUAGGGCAAGAAGCGAUUUUUUUUUUAAUUUUGAUUUUUUUAAUAUUUGUAAAUGUUUUAAAUAAAUUUAGUUUUAAAUUUAAUUUAAUUAAUUUUUAUCACGUGAGUAUAAAAACAACGUCGUUUUUGUAUUGUUCAGUCACGUCACCAUAUAAAACGACGUCAUUUUGCACUUAUUUCGCCGGAAAAUUGCUACGUUAGUAUUUUAGCCAGAUUGGCACUUAAGUAAUUCAUUUUGCUUCGAUUUUAGUAUUUAAAUGUCAUUUUCCUAACUUUUAAUACUUAAGUAUCCCUCCGUUUAAGUUUUGGCACUUGGGUGUACUUUUGCCGCUUAUUAUUAUAGGUAAUGUAGUUCUGAUGGGAUCUUGGGAUUGGACCCCCAUGAGAGCCACUUGCCGGUUCGUAUCAUGUUUGCAACUUUGUGAUGAUCGUCCGCUUUAUUUUAAGUAGACAGAUAAGUAGUCCUGUGCAUUUCAUCAUCCAAUCCACAUCCAACUAGCGAGGUGGCAUGUUAAAAUUGUUUCGUUCAACUUAUGAGCUUAUAACUAGGUCGGGAACAUCAAUGGCAGUCGGAACCAAUUGCACACAAAAGAAAUGGUACAGUAUGUACCUAACCUGGUUAGACUUGGUUGUGGGAAAGGACAACCAGACAUCAAACGCGUUCAUCAUUUCUCGGAGAAAAGGAACAAAUCCUUAAUAAGAAAUUGGAUGAUGGCUUCUGAAAUCAUUCCUUUUUUCCUGUCAGACUUUCAGAUUCAUUCCAUUUAAGUGCCUUGCGCAAUUUAAUUGAAUUGUAUUGGUUGUCUGCAGUAAGUUCCAAUCAAACGAGCUUCCUCUGUGAGUUCAGAGUAAGGUGAAAACUAAAGAGAGAGAUUACUAGACUGCUUAUGCAACUGCAACGUCUCUACACACGUGCGCUUCCCCGGUUAAUCCAGAGCAUGCUAACCUGGAAAGUCCAGAAGAAAGAAGAGCACAACCUGGGAAAUAACCAAAAGAAGAAAAAGUACAAGCAGAUCCUCAAAGAAGAGAAAUUACAAGCAAAUCCUCUCUGACAAAGCGAUCUCAUUCUUGGGAAAACUAUAUGCAAACAGGGCAAGGCGAGUUGUCUCUAUCCUCUCACUCAUAGGCGCGAAUGGGGAUCUUGACAUUGCCUCUUGUAUUUGUGAAGUGGGCAAGGGCCGUUGUGGUUGGCCAGCCUAUUGCACCCAUCAACGACUAGAUGACAAUGAUCAUAUGCCGCCGAAGAUAGAAAAGGAAAACUCACUAAUGAUUUGCAGAAUCUAAAUUCCAUCUUCCUCAACUUCUUCAACUUCAAGAGAGGAGGCAACCUUACUAGGGAAUUGCACUGUUCAAUCAUUAAACUUUGCAGCGCUUCCAGUUCGAUGAGACCUUGGAUCUCAACUAGCCUCAGGCAAUUCAACAAGCACAAUGCUCUGAGCUUCUUCAAGCCUGACAGACAGGAUAAUCGCACCAGCAAUUCGCAGUUCGACACAGUUAGUUUCAUCAGAUUCUCCAGUUGUCCAAACUGAUUGAGUGGAAUAUUUGUCAGCCACAAUUUGCAUAGCUCCAAACUCGACAAAUUUUUUAAGUCAGGCCGAUGAAUUGAAGUUUAUAAGCUUCAUCGUGGACAGCGUGGGAGGAAGUGGCUGAGUGAGUGAUUGCAGGUCCAAACAAGACAGAACUAGUUGCUCCAGGCCAGGAAGGGAAGCUAACUCAGUCGGCGGUGCAAUGAUGCUUUUAUGAACCAGUUUCAGUUUCUCCAGUCUUGACAACAUCCCAACCCACUCUAGGUUUGGAGUUUGGAUAGAAUAGGCAUCCCAUGGCUUGGAAAGAGAUUCCUCAGAGUAGUCGGAUACAAUUAAAACGACUAAAUUAGUCAGGUUGGAGAGGUUUGGGACUGUCUUUAGUUUACGAGACUCAACAUACAGGUUAAUCAAACUGGUGGGAAGCUCUGGGAUUCGCUCAAGCUCAUGGCAACCUUCCAAAUGAAGUUCCUGGAGAUGAGAAAGCCGGUUGAUUGUUGUUGGCACAGAUCUAAUGCGAGUGUGAGAAAAGUUGAGGAUUUUCAGAAAGGAUAGACGCCCAAUUCCUCUAGGAAUAUCUCCCUCCAAAUUCAAGCAUUUUUUGGCAUGAAAUUCUUCAAGCUUCUCCACCGUGCCUAUAGUCAUUGGGAUCUUCGUUAUCUCACUGUGAUCUACCCUUAUCACUUUCAACUUCCUCAGGUCUCCAAUCGAAUCAGGUAAUUCUGUUACUUUUGUAUAAGACAGAUCCAACUCAAGAAGUGAUUCCAAUCCCCCAAUUGAGUCUGGAAGCUCUCUUAGCUCAUAACAUCUGGACAAACACAAGCUUUCAAGAUCCUUUAGCCCUCCGAUUGAUUGCAGAAGUUUGCUAAUUCCAACACUUUCCAUCACUAGCCUUUUCAAAGACUGUAGAUUAUCAAUCGAGUGGGGAAGAAACGGACCAACAGGACCAAGUAUCGUCCCUCUCACAGUCAGCUCUUUCAAAGCCUUUAGACAACCAGCUUCUUUGGGCAACUUUCUCAGAGAUUUGCAAGCAUCAAUUUCCAAGUAAUUCAGGUGCACUAGCUUCCCAAUCGAUUCAUCAAUUUCAACCAAGCUUUGACAAUUUCGUAUGAUCAAUCUUUUCAAUGUUGAUACAGCAGAGAGGUCGGGCAAUCUAGUUAUACGACUGCAUUCUCCAAGUUCCAGAACUUCCAACUUAGAUGAUUUCUGUUGGUCGCCAGAAUAUCAGAAAGGGAAUGAGCAAUUGGAGGCAUGUACGCUAAAACAAUAAGAACAGAAAUAAAUGUGAAACUGUCCAUACCGUGAUUUGGCGCCAUCCGGGCCAAUCAUCUCUAAGUUCACCGUUAGUAAGCUUGAGAACGACUAGAUUGCUUGGAGACAAAUUGGAAGCAUCAAAGUCUGCAGGACAAUGAUCCCAGGAUAGCCAUCUCAAAUUUCUGAAAACAUUUUUAUAAUCUCCAGUGAAGUUUACCCCUCCAACAUGAAGCGCCCUUAGCUUUGGCAGAUCAGCAAAUGCUUGAUUUGUAAGUCUCUGAACCUCAGGGAAUUGUAACGUGAGUAAUUCGACAUUGCUCUUUCGCUGGCAAUCACCCUAGCAAAGAUAGCAAGCAUCAGUGAACUGGAAGAUCAAACAGAGAUACUUGUGCACACAGAGGGCAGUGAAGUCUUAUAAAACCAGAAUCCCGUCCACUUUUUGCCUAGGAAAUUGCAGUUUUACUUGUAUCAAUAAAUUUACCUGUUCGUGAAGUAUACUUAAGGCAUCCUUGUGAUCGCACACCCUACUCCGAUUUCUUGGAUUUGCAAUAUCCUCCUGUCGAACAAUUUCCCUCCCAAAAUCUUUGAGCUGGUCAUGCAUCCAUAAUAUAUUGUCCUCUUUUAUCUUUAUUAGAGACAUAAGCGAAAGAAUAUUAAUUCCGCUUUCAGGAUAAAAAUCACAAGCUUCCCACAUAUGUUUUGCGGUUACGUCAUCUACAUCCGAGAAAAAGCAUGCAAUGUCUAACAAAAUCUGCUUCUCCUCAAAGUUUAAUGCCUCAUAACUUAUCCUUAUAUUGUCUCGGACUCCCCAAUCAGGUCCUUUUGUUAUCCGCUUCAAUGUUUCGACCCAAAUCUCGUGGCUUUUGCCACGGAGGAGAGAACCUAAAGUUUCAAGAGAUAAAGGAAUUCCUCCGGUAGAGGCUACUAUUUCACCGGAAAGAGUCUCCAGAUCAUCUGGAGGUAGGGUUUCUCCAAAAGCAUGUUUGCUGAAAAGUUGAAAAGCAUGGUAGGGAUUCAUCUCCGUCAUCUCAUAGGCAUAAUAUUCUUUAAGAGGAAAUGGGUGUUGGAGAAAUCUUCGUGAAGAGUUUUGAAGUUGACAAAACGUUUCCAUCAGUCUAAUCUGAAGGUCUGCAGACUCUGUUAGUUAAAGUCUGAAGACUUCCGGACAGCCAGACUCAAGACUCAAAGUCUAUCCUCAUUGACAGUCUCUAAUCCGUUGAAGAAAGGUUAUCCAGAACUGGAUGUUUUGUUCAGGAUUUAACCUUAUCAUCUGGAGAAGAUCUCGUGGUUGGAGAAGACAUAUAAGAAUCCUUUGAUUGAUCAAGAUUGAUUCAAUGACUGAAGAUUCGAUGAUUAUCUAAAUCUUAUGGGAAGGUUCUACUUAUGGAAACCGAGAUCCUGAUUGUAUGGGCGAACAGGAUUGAUGGGCUAUCAACACGUUCCUUUAAUAGCUCGAACAAUCUUCCUAAUUGAUUCCGUCCAACGGGUAGAUUGGAGGAAUUCCUUUGGUAAGUGCCAACGGGUAUGAUGGCAUAAAGGAGUAUAUAAGGAAGACGUUCUUAGUUGUUCAAGGAGUGCGCGAUAGAAGAAUUCCAAAGUCUGAAGCUCCUAUUUGUUUAGAUAAAUCCUUUGAGCGAAUACUUGUAUACAAAAGAGAGUCUAUAUUUGUGAGAGACCUUGAGGAGGUGUGGUAAAACAUCUACACUGUGGAAUCAAGGCAAAGCUGUGCUGUAACUUCUCUUUUGAUCAUAGUGAAAUCCAGCCGGUGGGCUGUCAGUGCGGAAGAGUGGACGUAGGCUUGGAAUAAGCCGAACCACUAUAAAUCCCGUGUUCAAUUUUCUCUUCCUCACUCUCUCUACCUCAAUCGUAUUUCAUUUUGUUAAUUAAGAGAGAAUUUACUUUCUAUCAUAUGUUAAGAAUCGCUUCCGUAUAUCGAUAAAGUGUUUAGGCACCUAUUCACCCCCCUCUAGGUACUCAUACUAGCAAUAUCAAUUGGUAUCAGAGCUCGUGUAUUCACUUUGUUUGAAGUAUUUUACUUCAGAGUUAAAGAUCCAUGGCUAGUAUGCUAGCACCAGGGCUGAUGGAAGGGCAAAGCAAUACCAGACCACCCUACUUUGAUGGAAAGGAUUACAACAUCUGGAAGAACAAGAUGAAAGCUUUCCUACGAUCAAAGGAUCCUCUGGAAUGGGAUGUUGUAGAAAAAGGAAUUACUCCUACCACUGCAUCAGUCUCUGAAAGAGGAAAAGAAACUGAAGAAACCAGCGGAAUGUCUCAGGAAGAAAUAAUCAAGAGACAAAUACUCGAUGCAAAAGCAAUUUACUCCUUAUAUUGUGCUUUAUCACCAACUGAAUAUAAUAGAAUAUCUUCUUGUGGUACAGCAAAAGAAGUUUGGGACAGAUUGCAUAUCACCUAUGAAGGAACAGAUCGAGUGAAGGAAACAAGAAUCAACAUUCUUCUCGGUCAAUACGAAGCCUUCAGAAUGAAACCAGGAGAAUCAAUAUCUGACAUGUUUAGUCGUUUUACAGAUAUUGUAAAUGGUCUUGAAAAUCAAGGUCAACCAACUUCUGAUCCCAUGAAGGUAAACAAGCUACUGCGUGGACUCUCCAGGGAUUGGAAUCACAUAAAGACUUCGAUAAGAGAGACGCAGAGAAUCAUGCCACUAUCUGUCGACGAGCUGAUUGGAACUCUUCAGUCCUAUGAAGUGGAAAGGAUCAAUGAAGAUGAAGAUCCAAAAGGUAAGAAAUCCAUUGCAUUAAAAUCAAAUGAUGAUUCUGAUGAUACAGAUUCUGAAGAUGAUAUGGACGAUGAGGAGCUUGCUCUCAUGAUAAGAAGAUUCAGAAAACUAAAUAGAAAAGGAAGAAGGUUCAACUCAAAGAAACAAAGCUUUCAAAGACAGCAGACCAAGUCUGUUGAUGAUGAGGAACCAAAUAAAGAUGUAGUCUGCUUUGAAUGCAAGAAAAAGGGACACAUCAGACCCAACUGUCCUCUUCUGAAGAAGAAGAGAGGAAAAGCUGAAAAAUUUCGAAAAGCUCUCAAAGCCGAAAACUGGAGUGAUACUGAGUGUGAAGAAAGUGAUAAUGAAUAUGCCAAUCUAUGUCUGAUGGCACAAUCAGACUCAGACUCUGGAUUAGACUCAGGAUCAGACUCAGACAGUGAAUUUGAGGCAAGUGAUUUUAAAAUUCCUGUCAAAGUUUCUAAAUAUAUUGAUGAACUAUGCUUUAGUCUUAAGACUUCUCUCAAAAGAAUUUCCGAACUGAAAAAAGAAAACUCAGCUCUAAAACAAAAGGAAAAUGUUUUAGCAGAAAGAGUUAAAAGUCUAGACUUGUCUGUUUCCAUUCUUAAAGAAAAUGAAGAUAAUCUUUUAAAAGAAAAUGCUUUUUUAAAAACAGACUUAUCAAAUAUAUCAAAGAAAUUUUCUAUAGGGUCUGAAAAACUUGAGAAAAUUCUUUCAGCACAAAGACCUUACUUCAAUAAGUCUGGUCUAGGUAUGACAGAAUAAACAAUUCCCUUGAUUGAUUUUCCUAAAGUAAAAGAAAGAAUUAAGAAAAGACUCUCGAGUGAGGUUUACAAAAAUCACUUCAAGAAAGUUUUUGUAAAACCUGUAGGUAGAAAUGCUCUCAGAUGUUCUAAGUGCAACAGUCCGGAUCACUUUGAAAAAGAGUGUCCUAUGGUAUGGAAACCUGUUAAGAAAGUAUGGGCUAAUACUGUUUAUCUUACUAACACCAAAGGACCCAAGAAAAUUUCGGUACCAAAGAAAGCUUGAGACUUUAUUUUAAAUGCAGGUCUCCGUCAAGAAACAGGUAAAGUGGUAUCUUGACAGCGGAUGCUCAAGACACAUGACAGGAGACUCAAAUUGCUUUAUAAAGAUUGCUCAAGUAAAUGGUGGAAAAGUUUCAUUUGGAGGAAACAGCAAAGGAAGUAUUGUGGGAUUUGGAACCGUGAAAAUUGGAACUCUCACAAUAAGUAAUGUUUCCUUAGUGGAAGGACUCAAUUACAAUCUUCUCAGCAUUAGUCAAUUGUGUGAUACUGGUUUCAAGAUCUUCUUUCAAAAAGCAACAUGUUCUGGAAUCAGUAAAGACUCUACUCAGUCUUUCAUGGGUCGAAGACAUGGAAAUAUCUAUCUUCUGGAUGUGAAACCAAAUGAAUCGCAAUGCCUUAUCUCAAUUCAAGACGAAGCAAGCUUAUGGCACAAAAGCUUGGUCAUGUCANNNNNNNNNNNNNNNNNNNNNNNNNNNNNNNNNNNNNNNNNNNNNNNNNNNNNNNNNNNNNNNNNNNNNNNNNNNNNNNNNNNNNNNNNNNNNNNNNNNNAAAGACUGAUUCAUGCACUCCAUGUAUUCUGGGAAAGCAGGUAAGAAAUCUUUUAAGCCAAUUAAUUAUGUCUCUACUAAUCAUGUACUACAGUUGCUGCAUAUGGAUCUCUUCGGACCAACCAGAACUCAAAGUAUUGGGGGUAAGAAGUAUUGCCUAGUAAUUAUCGAUGAUUACUCCCGUUUUACUUGGGUAUAUUUUCUUGCAAGUAAGUCCGAAACCUUUUCGUAUUUUGAAAAAUUUGCUAAAAUGGUUCAAAAUGAAAAAGGAUGUGUUAUCUCUAGUAUAAGAACAGAUCAUGGAGGUGAAUUUGAAAAUCAAGAUUUUACAAAAUUCUGUGAUGAAUCUGGCUGUAAGCAUAUGUUUUCCUCUCCAUAUACUCCUCAGCAAAAUGGAGUUGUGGAAAGAAAGAACAGAUCUCUUCAAGAAAUGGCUAGAACUCUUUUAAUUGAAAGUAAAAUUUCUUCUCGAUUUUGGGCUGAAGCUGUUUCAACAGCAUGCUAUAUCAUCAAUAGAGUCUUCUUAAGAUCUAUUCUUCAGAAAACCCCUUAUGAGUUAUUCAAAGAAAAGAGGCCUAUUGUUUCAUACUUUCAUGUAUUUGGUUGCAAAUGUUUUAUACUGAAAAAUGCAAAAGAUCGAGUUGGUAAGUUUGAAGAAAGAUCAGAUGAAGGUAUCUUCCUUGGAUAUUCUACAUCAAGCAAAGCCUUCAGAGUCUAUAACAAGAAGAGCCAAUCUGUGGAGGAGUCAAUGAAUGUCAAAUUUCAAGACUCAACACAAGAUGAAUCAAGUCAGACUCAUCAAGAAGAGUCUGAACCUGCUCCAGAUCUUCCAAAGCUUACAACUCAAGAAGCAUCUCAGACUCUGGAAAACCAUAAUAAGGAUGUUCGUGAAGAUUCAAUCAAAGAGAGAGAUCAUCAAUCAGACAAAUCAACAAGUAACUGGAAGCAUAAGUCCAGUCAUCCCAAAGAUCUUAUAAUCGGCGAAAUGAAUGAAGGAAUUCGCACCAGAUCCAAAAGGCGAGAAGAGUCUAGUGCUGUGGCACUUGUUUCUGAAAUUCAACCAAAGAGCAUAAAAGAAGCUUUAUCUGAUGAAAGCUGGAUUGAAGCUAUGCAAGAAGAGCUCAGACAGUUCAGCAUAAAUGAUGUCUGGGAAUUGACAUCCAAACCAAAAGGUAAAACUGUUAUUGGAGCUAAAUGGGUUUUCAGAAACAAGAUGAACGAGAAAGGAAAAGUCGUACGAAAUAAAGCAAGACUCGUGGCCAAGGGAUAUACGCAAGAAGAAGGAAUAGACUAUGAUGAGACUUACGCUCCAGUUGCAAGGUUAGAAGCUAUUCGACUAUUACUUGCGUUUGCUUGUUAUAAGAAUUUCAGGUUAUUCCAAAUGGACGUCAAAAGCGCCUUCCUAAAUGGAUUUAUCCAUGAGGAAGUUUAUGUGGAACAACCACCAGGGUUUGAAGACCCAAAGAAGCCAGACUGAAAAAGGCUUUGUAUGGUUUAAAGCAAGCACCUCGGGCUUGGUACGACAUAUUAAGUAAGUUCCUAAUACAAAAUGGUUUUGUCAAAGGUAAAGUAGAUACGACUUUAUUUAUCAAGAAGGAAAACAAAAGUUUCUUACUUGUUCAAAUAUAUGUGGAUGAUAUUAUUUUUGGAUCCUCUAAUGAAAGUCUUUGCAAGAAAUUUUCAAAGUCUAUGCAGGAUGAGUUUGAAAUGAGUAUGAUGGGAGAGUUAACAUUCUUUCUUGGUCUUCAAGUAAAACAAUUGAAGGAAUGAACUUUUAUUUAUCAAGAAAAAUAUGUUAAUGAUCUUGUCAAAAGGUUUGGACUGGAAAAGUGCAAAAAGGUCGACAUACCAAUGUCAAGUUCUUUAAAGAUAGACAAAGAUGAAGAAGGGAAGAAAGUUGAUCAAAAGCUGUACAUGAGCAUUAUUGGAUCACUUCUUUAUCUUACUGCCUCUAGACCUGAUAUUUUGUUGAGUGUUUGCAUCUGUGCUAGGUUUCAAUCACAUCCUAGAGAGUCUCAUCUCAGUGCUGCGAAACGCAUCAUUAAAUACGUGGCUUCAUCAUCAAGCAUCGGUCUUUGGUAUCCUAAGAAGGGAGACUUUAAUCUUCUGGGAUAUUCAGACGCAGAUCUGGCCGGUUGCAGAGUUGAUAGAAAGAGCACUUCAGGAACUUGCCAGUUGCUUGGAAGCAGGACAGUGUCUUGGUUUUCAAGGAAACAAAGCACUGUGUCUCUUUCAACAACAGAAGCAGAGUAUGUAGCUCUUGGAAGCUGCUGUUCGCAAAUUCUAUGGAUAAAACAACAGCUAAGAGACUUUGAAAUUGAAGACUCAUGCACGGAGAUUAAUUGCGACAACACCAGCGCUAUCAACCUCACCAAAAAUCCAAUUCUCCACUCAAGAGCAAAGCAUAUAGAGAUUCGACAUCACUUUAUAAGAGACCAUGUUCAAAAUGGAGAUGUUUCAAUUCAAUUUGUUGACUCAAAGAAUCAACUGGCUGAUAUACUCACAAAGCCUUUGGAGAAAAAUCAAUUUGAGUCUAUACGGUCCAGACUCAACAUUUUGAGGUAUGAGGAUAUCAAAGUCUAAAGACUGUCAGACUCAGGCUAACAAGACUUUAUCUACUGUCUUGGCUCGACUUUCAGACUGUAAGUCUUUCUCUCUCCAAUCUUAUCUUGAAAAGGUACGAUCAUCAGGCUAUGUUUAAAUUGUUGCUAUAUUUAAUUAACGUAAAUAUUGCAUCGAUUCAUUUUCAAAAAGGUAGUUAUUUUUGAAAUGGCUAUUUUUGCGGAAAAAGACAGUUAUUUUGAAAAGGCAUAUUUUUAUUUCCUUUGUGACGGUUCGUUUACUCUUCUUUUUAACCGAUUGUGCACUGUCGAUUUCUCUUCACUUUUCUAUUCACUUUUCUCUCAAAAACCCUAGAAAGCAUCGAUCCUCAAUUCCCGUUUGUCUUCUUCGCUCAAUCUUCAAAAAGUUGUCAUCUUUUCUGGGAAAGUCAAGCAAGGAAUCUUCCAAACACUGAGAAAGAUGUCAUCAUCACGAAAGUCCUCAAGAAUCGCAAGCAGGGGACCACAGAGAAUGAGUGAGGGGCCUACGCACUUCGAUCUUACUAAAGAUGAAGUUACUCCAGAUCAGCAACCAAGCCCACAACAUUCUCAGCAGCGUCAGUCUCCUCUAUCUAGUCCUCAAGGCGUUGUUCAUCAGCAUCAAGAAGAAAUCAUCGAGGAUGCAGACCCCGUAAGAGUUCAAAAGCCCGCUUUUAUUUACAAGCUAUAUCGUGCCUUAAAAGGAACUCGUACUCCUUUGAACUAUGUUGAUGAGUUUCUUAGAGACAAAGGAUAUAGGAACGAAUAUAUCUUUCUGCGAAAAAUGGAAAGUUUGGGAAUCGCUCGUAGAGGGGUGGCUGAGGAAACCCUUGCGAAUAUCCCAAGUGAUCCUCGUGACUGGGGACCGAAUCCUGUAGAUGGGAAUGACGAUGACAAUCUGUUCAGUCUAUUUCAAUCGAAAAUGGGUAUUGCGGCUGAAAUUCAAGGAAAAAGGGGAGAUUUGUUCAGAUCAAAGGAACAAAAGGAUCUGUACUCGAAAUUGCUGAAGCGUGGGGUAAUAAACCCUAGGAGUGUGGACUUUGAUUUUCUGGAUGCUGUGAAAGUGAACUUGAGGGAAAAGUUCAGUUAUCUUCAACUUGAAAAGUUUUGCUCUGACUCAACUGAGGCUUAUGCUGAAUUGACUGCAUAUUUCUAUUCAAAUCUUAGCUUUUUGGAUGCGAAUAGAUUCUCCUUCAGCGUUAAAGAUCAAGACUAUGUUGUGGAUAUGGACAUGCUGGCAGAUGUGUUAGAAGUUGAGAGAGGCAGAUAUCAACCAAUCAAAGUUUCCAUUGCUCGGGCCACACUUGAACUGGUGAAGGACAGGAGAACAGAUGAGAAGAUCACCUACUCACGGAUGAAUGCAUUCAACAUCUUGCUUCACAAGAUUGUGAUCAAUUGCCUUCGGCCGAAAUCAACUUCCAAAACUGAUGUUUCAAGCUCUGAGGCAAAGUUGAUGUAUGCCAUCCUCUGUGGUAAGAAGUUUUCUCUCCCUCAUACUGUUAUGUUUCACAUGUAUAGAGCAGUGAUGAAGGACAGAGGUCAACUCCCUUACCCAAGCCUUGUUACGAAGUUAUUCAGACAUCUGAAUAUUCAGCCUCCGCAAAUCUUUUGUGUUCGAUCAUGCGAUCAUAUGGUGGUAGGACUGAAAAUGGUGACCAAAAUGCAUCUGAAGGAACUGAGCAAGGAAUUGGAGAAAUUCAAGGAGAAGACUCCUACCAAAUCUCAUCAAUUCUUUUCUGCUGCUAAGAGAAAAGGGAAGGAGCCCAUGGCUGCUUCAUCAAAGAGAAGAAGAGCUCUCCUCGUUGAGGAUGAAGAUGAUGACGAAGACAUCACCAUCUCUGCAAUGGCUUUGAAGAAUUUAGGUCGUCCUGUUCCACAUAAAGAAUCGGAACAAAAGACGAAAGAAGCAGAGGAGAAGGAAGAAGAAGAAAGAGAAGCAGAGGAGAAGGAAGAAGAAGAAAGAGAAGCAGAGCAAGAAGCAGAGAAAGAAAGACCUGAAGAAGAAAGAAGAGAAGAAGGAGAACCUGAGGAAAUCUCUUCUCCACCUGUAGGCAUGGAAACAGGGGGAGCUCAGGAGAAAGGAGUGACGUCUUCAUAUCCUGAUGCAAGUGAAGGAGUCAGUCGCUCGCCUGCAGACCCAGAAGAUGUUUAUUCAUCUCAGUUUCCAGAAGAAGAUCAUGAAGUGUCAUCGCCAAAUCUGCAAGCUUAUGCUGAUCUACCAUCUUCUGCAGAUCGAGCCGAAGCAAGUACUCAGACUGAUAAUGGAGCAGAUUUUCGCAGAAUCAUGGAUAUUCUCUUGGAGAUGAAAGAAUCAGGCCAAUGCCAAGAGUGAGGAGGUUGUACAGCUGAAGGAAGACUUUAAAAGGCUGGAAGGCAUCGUUCAGUCUAUGGAAGAUUUCCAGCUUGUCCGCAUUCCCAAGACUUCAUCUCAUCCUUUUUAAUGAUGACAAAAAGGGGGAGAGAUGCAUGAUUUCAUCAAAAACUUUCAAUCAUUUUUUAACUGUUUGUUGGAUUGUGUUGUUGUUUAACUGUUUUUGACAGACUUUGACUUUGUUUUGUGUCUGGAUGAGAUCUGAACUAGACUUGGACUUGACUGCUUCUAUUAACAAGUAUUGAUAUCUUAUGGAUGGGUUUAUUAUAUACUAGACUAACCUAUUUUCUGUGGUUGCAGAUUCUAGUGUUAAUCUUUUAGCCAUUCAUCUCUAUAAGAUAUGCAUAUGUGUUUGAGAAAUGUUUUGCAGGUCAAAGUUAUCCAAAUCUACAGGAAGGUUUUGUCACCAUCAAAAAGGGGGAGAUUGUUGGAGAAAUCUUCGUGAAGAGUUUUGAAGUUGACAAAACGUUUCCAUCAGUCUAGUCUGAAGGUCUGCAGACUCUGUUAGUUAAAGUCUGAAGACUUCCGGACAGCCAGACUCAAGACUCAAAGUCUAUCCUCAUUGACAGUCUCUAAUCCGUUGAAGAAAGGUUAUCCAGAACUGGAUGUUUUGUUCAGGAUUUAACCUUAUCAUCUGGAGAAGAUCUCGUGGUUGGAGAAGACGUAUAAGAAUCCUUUGAUUGAUCAAGAUUGAUUCAAUGACUGAAGAUUCGAUGAUUGUCUAAAUAUUAUUGGAAGGUUCUACUUAUGGAAACCGAGAUCCUAAUUGUAUGGGCGAACAGGAUUGAUGGGCUAUCAACACGUUCCUUUAAUAGCUCGAACAAUCUUCCUAAUUGAUUCCGUCCAACGGGUAGAUUGGAGGAAUUCCUUUGGUAAGUGCCAAAGGGUAUGAUGGCAUAAAGGAGUAUAUAAGGAAGACGUUCUUAGUUGUUCGAGGUGUGCGCGAUAGAAGAAUUCCAAAGUCUGAAGCUCCUAUUUGUUUAGAUAAAUCCUUUGAGCGAAUACUUGUAUACAAAAGAGAGUCUAUAUUUGUGAGAGACCUUGAGGAGGUGUGGUAAAACAUCUACACUGUGGAAUCAAGGCAAAGCUGUGCUGUAACUUCUCUUUUGAUCAUAGUGAAAUCCAGCCGAUGGGCUGUCAGUGCGGAAGAGUGGACGUAGGCUUGGAAUAAGCCGAACCACUAUAAAUCCUGUGUUCAAUUUUCUCUUCUUCACUCUCUCUACCUCAAUCGUAUUUCAUUUUGUUAAUUAAGAGAGAAUUUACUUUCUAUCAUAUGUUAAGAAUCACUUCCGUAUAUCGAUAAAUUGUUUAGGCACCUAUUCACCCCCCUCUAGGUACUCAUACUAGCAAUAUCAGGAAGCAUUAUCCUGUUGUCCCAUUUCUACCGUUGGCAGAAGACCCACAUUCCUAGUUGUGACAAUAAUUCUAUGAUUGACUAAUAAUACAUUUUCCUGAAGAAAGAAUGAGCGAUGGUCAUGUUACUUUCUCCGAAUAGAUUAUGUCUAGGACACGCUUGUUGCGAAAUCUUUCUUGUAUCAUGUUGACUCCGUCGUCAACGUUAUGGACAACUGGGGACCUCUUCAGGAUAUCAGAUAACAGCUGGUUCUGUAACCUUACAAUGCCAUGUCUUAGUGAAGUUUCUCGGAUGUCUGAAAGGAAGCUGCAACCAUCAAAUAGAGGAGCCAUCAUGUUGAAAACCGCCUUGGCAAGAGUUGUCUUGCCAAUUCCUCCCAUCCCGUGCACAAUAAGAAAUCGUACGUCCAAGGAGCCAUAGUCCAACAACUGCAUCAUGUCUCUGACUCGAUCAUCAAUUCCAACUAAAUAAUCAGGAAGAACCUUCUGUCUCUUCUUCAGCUUAAUAGAAAGCUCUCGAACAAGAUCGUUAGCAAGCUUACCCAGCCUGCCAUGUAUAAUAAAUCAUCAUCUUAGAAGAAAAGAUUGAUAUUACGAAAAAAUUUGUACACCCGAAACAAAUUUACUCCAAACUAUUUGAGUUAUUAAAAACCUCAAAUUCGUACAUUUAUGAUAAAUUUAUCCUAAACUGAUAUAAAUUUCAACGUUGACUUGUCAUAUGUGUCAUAGCUCAGCAAUUUCAUGGGAAAAUUUGAGGGAAGUUAACAAAGAGUAAACAUGUCCCGAUAUAUCAAAUUAGGAUUUUUGGUGAUUCUAAAAUUAAUUUAGGAUAAAAUUUAUCGCACAUGAACUAGUUUGUCAUUUUUGGUGAACUAAAAAUUAGUUUAAGAUAAAUUUGUUCUAACUAUAUCAAAUUAACAAUUCGGGAUUUUUUUUUCUACGAUAUUAACCUUAAAAAAAAGGAGCAACUGUAUCUAGGAAUCCUCGAGAACAUGCUUUCAAUACUUCUUUGGCUGCAAACGCUCCUCAACAGCAUAUCUCUCUCCCUCUCCCUCUCCCUCUCCCCUCCCCUCCUCCUCCCCUCGCCUCUCCCUCCCUCCCUCCCCCCCUCCCCCAAAAAUAGCACAAAGCAGCAACAUAGGCUGAGACUUGCUCGAAGUUCAUUUCUGACUUAGCACGUUCGUCCAAAACACCAAAGAAGCUUUAAACCGUCUUUUUACCAAACCCCAUUCGAUAUCAUUACCAUCGACCAUGCUAUAAAACCUUAAAUUGCCAAUAAAAAAUACCCCUCUAAGCAUUGUAUACAUAUGGAGAGAGAGAGACUAAAUGAAUAAGGGUGUAAUGGCCACUAAAGUUUCUUCCUACUUACCCUGCAUUUCGUGCGUCCCAUCCUUUGAGAUCUGCGACCUCCCUUAGAGCCUCCCUCCACUCUUGCACCCUCUCCUCGCCGUGAUGCCCCUCGUGCCAAAGCAGGUGUUCGCCGUACGAACCCCUCCUUUGCCUGACGUCCGAAGGACUCACGCCGUAGAAUACGGGCACAAUUUCGUGUCCCGCGGAUUCUCUCCGGCACUUCACCAUGCGCGCGAGCUCCUGGAGGCACCAUGCGCUGGAUGCGUAGCCUUCAGAGAAGAUCGACACGUGGAUCCUUGAGUCGUCGAUCGCGCGCUCAAGCUCCGGUCCAAUAAUCUCGCCUACGGGAAGCUCUUCGUUUUCUCUGAAGACACUAAAUCCGGCGUCGACUAAGCUUUCAUAUAGGACAUCCGCAACCGUGCGGCGAGUGUCGGGCCCUCGGAAGCUCAAGAACACAUCGUACUUGUAGCCCGGCAUUGGCACGACGUGCGCGGAAAUCUUGGCGAUUCGCGUCUCUGCUCCCCUUCGGUUAGACGACAUUGUGAACGAGGAAGAAGAAGAGCAGACGAAACAGGAGAGGAAGGAGAAUCACAAAGUUCCUCCUCUUGUGUGGUUCGAGGGAAAAGUGGCUCUUGGCGUGUAUUUAUACGAAAAGCCCGUGGGCGAACGACGCACUUUGGCUGCCAUUACCUCGGAAGUUUCCUUCCAUGCGCAACGUAGCCCGUUCAAGAACAGGGGGACAUGCGACAUUGACCUGUAGGAUUCCAAUCAAUACUCGAGUUGUUGAAAACUUGUUCGAACCGUGUAUUCAAAUUUGUGCUGCCCACAACAAAUAGACCGACUCAUCCGAAAUACCAGAAUCAACUGAUGAUGGAUCGACCCGCCAUUCAAUUUUUGACGUUUGACCAAAAUAAAAGUUCACCGUCCAUGUCCAUGAAAAACAUAUUAUAUAGAUGAAUAUAGGAUAACAAAAUCAAAGGUCAAAAUAUAAAUCUCUUUGACAAUUUCUGCAUAAGGUUUGAAUGAUUCUCAGUAAGUUGAUCCUUUUUACUUACACAAAAAUAUAAAUCUAUAAUUUCCUCCAUCAAUUAAAUUUCGAGAAAUUGCUUUAUAACACGCAAACUGCACGCCCUUUUGCUUGUAUUCCUUACAACACAAAGCAUUAAAAGAAAACUAAGAAUUUCUAUCACCAAUAGGAAAUUUUUAUGCUGUGAUAGCUGCUACUCUUCUAGGGACUCAAUCUCUUUUUUUUUUUUUUUUAAAUCUUCGUUCCUCAUGUGUAUUUGAAUUAACAAGUAAUGCUUUCUUUCGAACACUUCGUUCAAUUGCUUUCUUGAUCACCUUCGGAUCCACGUCUCCCCUUGCCUCCACCAAUUGCUAAUCCAUGUUCAUGUCCACGUACUCCACUCCUGCUCAUUCAAUUAAAUUUCUUCACUAAUAUUUAAGAAAAACACACCAAAACGAAAGCAAUUAUGAAGUAAUUACUCAUUUAUUGAGAGCUAUAUAACUAAAUUAAGGCUCAACUUUAAAGAAUUAACCCUGUAAGUGAAGCAAUAUAUAUGUAUAUAUACAUAUAUUAUACAUGAAAGUGUUGUACUGAUUAUAUUUAUCGGUUCUACUACACAGUGGAGGGAAAAGCUUUGAAUAUUUGAACGACACAUCUCGUGGGUUUGGUUCAAAUACGAUAUGAACAUGAGCAAAAUACAUUACCUUCUGUCUUCCAAAUCUUUUGCCGGCAUCCACAACAGCAAUUGAUACUCACGUGCAAAACGAGAGACCGCAUCAAAUAUGUUCGAUUACAGUAAGAUGAUUUUAGUCAUGUAAAGUUUACAUUAAAAGCAGAGAUUGAAAGUAUUACGGUAGACAUCGGAACUUGGUGCAGUGCCUUGUAGACCUGAGAAGGUGAAGCUCGAGGGCAGAUGGCUCACUCAAGUAUAUUUCCAUUACAAAUAAUAAGUCUCGACAAGAAAGGGAAAUAAUUGUUAAAUUUGUUGGAGAAAUCUUCUUGAAGUGUUUUGAAGUUGACAAAUCGUUUCUAUCAGUCUAGUCUGAAGGCUUGCAGACUCUGCUAUUUAAAGUCUGAAGACCUUGGGACAGCCAGACUCAAGACUCAAAGUCUAUCCUCAUUGACAGUCACUAAUCCGUUGAAUAAAGGUUAUCCAGAACUGGAUGUUUCGUUGAGGAUUUAACCUUAUCAACUGGAGAAGAUCUCAUGGCUGGAGAAGACAUAAACGAAGUCCUUUGAUUGAUCAAAGAUUGAUUCGAUAAUUGAAGAUCCGGUGAUUGCCUAAAUAUUAUUGGAAGGUUCUGCUUAUGGAAACCGAGAUCCUGAUUGUAUGGGCGAACAUGAUUGAUGGGCUAUCAACACGUUCCUUUAAUAGCUUGAACAAUCUUCCUAAUUGAUUCCGUCCAACGGGUAGAUUGGAGGAAUUCCUUUGGUAAGUGCCAACGGGUAUGAUGGCAUAAAGGAGUAUAUAAGGAAGACUGUCUUAGUUGUUCAAGGUGUGCGCGAUAGAAGAAUUCCAAAGUCUGAAGCUCCUUUUUGUUUAGACAAAUCCUUUGAGCGAAUACUUGUAUAUGAAAGAGAGAGUCUAUAUUUGUGAGAAAUCUUGAGGAGGUGUGGUAGAACAUCUACACUGUGGAAUCAAGGCAAAGCUGUGCUGUAACCUCUCUCUUGUUCAUAGUGGAAUCCAGCCAAUAGGCUGUCAGUGAAGAAGAGUGGACGUAGGCUUGAUAUAAGCCGAACCACUAUAAACCGCGUGUUAAAUUUUCUCUUCUCUCAGUCUUACUUUGAUUAUCGUUUCCUCCAACUGUCUAGUAUUGUGCAAUUGCUUGAGAAAAAUUCUUUAUAUACCUAUUCACCCCCCUCUAGGUACUUAUACUAGCAAUAUCAAAAUUAUGUCUCAAGUUUGAAUCCAUUAUAUGAUACCCAAUACGUGCAAAACACUUACAUGCUGAAAUGAGGAAGAACGUCCGCAAAGCAUUUAAUUAAAAUUAAGGAGUGCGUGAUAGGAGCCGGAAAAAAAAAUAUCCAGCCCUUGGCGUUGGAAAUGAAGGCCACAAAUCCGUGUGUUGACUUUUGUGGCCCUUCUCACUUUUUCAGCACGAAAUUAUCCUCUGAAGAGUUCAUCCUCUAUUUUUUCUACGUCAUUAAAUGCAUGCAUAUGGCCAUGUGCAUGCAUGCUCGUAGAAAACAAGUUGGUCAGCAUUUGUGGCCUCAGAAGCCUAUCACGCAGGAGAAAAUCUCGGCAGGCGCCGAAGUCUAUCCCUCUCUUUGGUCAUCUUUUGUGGACUUCUUUCGUCUUGUUGCGGAUAAAGAAGGAGAGUAGAAGCUCUUCUACGUGUGUCAGUACAUGCUGCUCAGCUCACACGCUAACAUUAAAUGCAUGGAGGCACAUGUUUUGAAGAUCGGCACCGUUCUGACAAUUGUGGAGUACAAGUUUUUCUUCCCCUUCCACCGAUAAAAGAAAAAAGACGUCUGGAGCUCGUUGGCUACGCAAGAAAGAGCCAAAGAAAACGAGCUCGAGAGACAGAGAGCGAAAAGAAAAGAGCUCAGCAGAGAGCUAGAGAAACAAGCUCGAGAGAGAGAGAGCGAGAGACGUGAGCUCCGAGAGGUUUGUGCGGAAGUCGAGUCCAUUGAGUGAGUUGAGUUGUUAAACACCGUGGGUAUCGGGUAUAAAGUAGGGCUGGGAAACACUUGAGUACUGUUAAAUUGCUAAAGGGAGGAGAGAUGAGACUUAAACUUUUUCUUACGUACAAAGCAACUCCAAGUCUUUUACAAAAGACAAAAUACAUAACGUAAAACACACCAUAACUACCCAUGUUCUCCAUAAAGCACUUGCCCCACUAACACCUAAAAACUAGGAUAACCAACACACAUGACUCCACUAACUCUAGUAACUGAAAAACUAAAUCAACAACAUGUGAAAAAGGAAAUAACUGUUAUAUUAACAAUCCCUCCCUUAAACUGAUGUUUGCUAACAUUCAGUUUAAAGCCUUAACUUUUUUUUCACCGUGCAAACACCUAGUAACCUUCUAAGCUUCACAAAUGACUCCAUCUUGAGGGCCUUGGUGAAUAUAUCAGCAACUUGAUCUUCACUCAUGCAGUAGAUUAGAUCAAUUGUUCCAUCAUUGCUAAGAUCUCUCAAGAAAUAAAACUUCACAUCAAUGUGCUUGCUUCUUCCAUGUAACACUGGAUUCUUGGAGAGUUUUAUUGCUGAGUUAUUGUCACAAAAAAUUUUAGUAGGUCCCGGUUGCUUGAAUUGUAGCUCCUCAAGAAUUCUCCUUAGCCAAAUAGCUUGACAAGCACUAGCUGUUGCAGCAACAAAUUCAGCUUCUGUACUUGACAAUGUGACAAUUGGUUGCUUCUUGGAUGACCACGAAAUAGCACCUGUUCCAAACAUAAAAGCAUAACCCGAAGUGCUCCUCCUAUCAUCUUGAUCUCCUGCAUAGUCACUAUCAGUAAAUCCCAACAAAUCAGACUUUUCACCCUUCUUGUAAAAUAGCCCAAAGUCUCUAGUUCUUUGCAAGUAACGAAGAAUUCUCUUGGCAGCUAACAAAUGCAUUUGUGUAGGAUUCUCCAUAUAUCUACUGAUUAAACUCACAGAAUACAUUAUGUCUGGUCUUGUUGCAGUUAAAUACAUCAAACUGCCCACAAUUUGUUUAUAAAGUGUGCUGUCAACCUUCCUCCCUUCAUGAUCUUUGUAUAACUUUAAGCCAAACUCAACUGGAGUGUUUACAGGAUUACAAUCCUUCAUCUGAAACCUGUCCAAAAUUUCUCCCACAUAUUUCUUUUGAGAAAUAAAGAUCCCAUCAUCCGAUUGUACCACUUCUAUGCCAAGGAAGUAAUGCAUCAUACCAAGAUCAGACAUUUCAAACUCAUCCAUCAUAGAUUUCUUGAAUUCUUCAAACAUGCCAUCACAACUUCCAGUAAAUAUAAGAUCGUCAACAUACAAGCAGACAUAAGCAUUUUCCCUUUAUCUCCAAUCUUGACAAAAAGUGUAUGCUCAUAAGGACAUUUUGAAAAACCAACUUUAAGAAAAUAAAUUUCAAUGCGACUAUACCAAGCCCGAGGGGCUUGUUUUAGCCCAUAAAGAGCUUUCUUCAAUCUAUAAACUUUAUGCUCAUUUCCAAUCUUGACAUAACCAGGGGGUUGCUCGACAAAUACCUGUUCCUCCAAGUACCCAUGCAAGAAUGCCGAUUUGACAUCUAGCUGGAAAAUAGGCCAAGAAUUCUGUGCCGCCAAUGCAACCACCAAUCUGAUCGUGUCAUAUCUCGCAACUGGAGAAAAAACCUCCGUAUAGUCGAUCCCAUAUUGCUGCUUGUAUCCCUUGACUACCAAACGUGCUUUGUAUUUGUCAACUUCACCAUUUUCUUUCAGUUUUGUUUUAAAGACCCACUUCACACCAAUGGUUUUUUGUCCAUCCGGAAGAUCGGAUAACUCCCAAGUAUCAUUUCUUUCGAUGGCAUUAAUUUCAUCAUCCAUCGCUUUUCGCCAUUUUUCUUCUUUGACAUCACUCUCAAAAGUUGUAGGGUCAUAGUCUGAAAAUAAGGCAAAGUGAGUAAUUGAAUCUCUAAUUCCAGUUACCUCAUAAUCUUCCAUCCAAGCAGGCUUUCUUCUAACGCGGCGAAGAGAUUGGGCUUCUUCUUCAUUGACUUCAGUGCCUGUUGGUGAAAUUUCAGCAACUGUAGAAGUUGUAUUUGAUGAAUUUUGGGGCAUAGAAGGUGCUGAAAUUUGCUCUUGUUCAGCAUCAUUGUCAUAAAAAAACUUGGGUAGGCUGCUGCCUAUUCCAAUCCCAAAUGUUCUCUUCAUCGAAAACAACAUCCCUGCUAGUCACAAUCUUCUUUGUUAGUGGAUUGAAUAAUUUAUAUGUUUUGGAUGCUUCACUUACACCAAGAAAGACACAUUUUUCAGCCUUGUCAUCAAGUUUCUUCCUUUUCACAUCCGAGACAUGGGCAUAUGCGAUGCAUCCAAAAAUUCUGAAGUGAUCUACAGCCGGUCUUCUCCCACUCCAAGCCUCUUCAGGUGUCAUAUUCUGAACAGCAAAAGUUGGACUUCUGUUCAAAACAUGAAUACUCCAAUUUACUGCUUCUGGCCAGAAAGUCUUUGGAACUCUUCCUCUUGCCAAUAAACUUCUCACCAUGUUGAGAAUUGUUCUAUUUUUCCUCUCAGAUACACCAUUCUGCUGUGGUGUAUAUGCAGCAGUAAGCUCUUUUCGAAUGCCAUACUCUGCACAAAAAACUUCAAAUUCUUUUGAGCAAUAUUCACCACCACGAUCUGUUCGAAGAGUCUUAAUAGUCUUUCUUGCUUCAUUUUCAACACGAGUUUUGAAGCUUUUAAAUGUGGAGAAAGCUUCUGAUUUUUCCUGUAAAAAAUAAACCCAAGUUUUUCUAGAAAAAUCAUCAAUUAAGGUAAUUAAGUAUCUUUUACCUCCAUUAGAAGAUGGAUUUAUGGGACCGCAAAUGUCCGAAUGCACCAGCUGCAAAACAUCCUUUGCUCUCCAUGACUUUUCUUUUGAAAAUUGAGAACGAUGCUGUUUGCUAACAACACAUUCUUCACAGACUUGGGAAUGAACAGUAAUUUGAGGAAGACCCGUCACCAUGUUUUUCUGUUUGAGGGUCUUCAAUCCACCAAAACUCAAGUGACCAUAGCGAAAGUGCCAAAGCCAUGACGGAUCUUUCUUUUCAGCCAUCAAACAAGACUUAAUAUUUUCAAUCUUUAAUGGAAACAAUCUAUUUGAAUUCAUAGGAACAACUGCAAUAGCACCUCUAACGGAAUCAUAAAUUUCACAGACACCUCUCUGAAUGGUGAUUACAUAACCAUUUUCUUGUAAUUGGCCAGCACUCAACAGAUUACUUUUCAAGUCAGGAACAUACAACACAUUAGAGAUCGUUUCCACAAAACCAUUCUUGGUUCUUAUCUUAAUAUCUCAUUUUCCCAUCACUUUCACAGUAGAAUGAUCCCCAAAACUCACAGUGGAAUGAAAAUCUUCAUUUAGAUGAGAAAAAGAAGACUUACUUCCACUCAUGUGGUUACUGCAGCCUGUAUCCACAUACCAAAUAUCUGACUCGCGCUCAUUUUCAUCUUGAACAGCCAUCAACAACGUUUCUGCUUCCUUUUCUUCAACAAAGUUUGAACUCUCUGCCUUUUCUUUAUUAUUAGGCAGCCUAGUAUAACAUUCAGAUGCAUAAUGACCAAAUUUAUGACAUCUAAAACACUCUACCUUGGCUUUGUAAGGAUCCCGUCCUCUGCCUUUGCCUUGAAAUUGGUCAUUAUUGGCUUUGAAAUUCCUGCCAACAUCUCUAUUUCCUCGAUCUCCCCUUCCUCUACCUCUACCUCUACCCCUUCCUCUGAAAUUGUUGGAAUGAGUAUUGGUAGAAGCCUUCAAUGCUUGCUCCUCUACUGUUGAACUUCUGUUCAUCUUCUGUUCAUGGACCAAUAAGGAGCUUUGCAAUUCAUCAAGAGAGAGCGCAUCUAUGUCUUUCGACUCUUCAAUUGAGCAGACAACAUAAUUAAACUUUGAUGUCAAGGAACGCAAAAUCUUCUCCACAAUGGUGACGUCGUCCAUCUUCUCGCCAUGGAAUCGCAUCUUGUUGCUGAUCUCCAUUGUUCUAGCACAAUAACUAGUAACAGAUUCUCCAUCUUUCAUCGCUAAUGUUUCAAAAUCUUUUCUCAAGGCUUGAAGCUGUGCACGCUUCACUCUAACAGAGCCUUGAUAUUUCUUCUUCAUAGAAUCCCAUAUAUCCUUGGAAGUUUCUUUGCAAAGAAUAGUCUCCAAGAUGGAACGAUCGAUAGCCUGAAAAAAAUAAUUUUUUGCCUUUAGGUCCUUCAACUUUCGAGCUUCCAAUUCUGCUUUCUGGGGAUCUGUCAAAGCCAUGCCUGCUGGUGGCUUUUGAAUUCCAGAUUCGACAACCGACCAAUACUCCUUUGAUCGUAAAAAAUUCUCCAUUAACAUACUCCAAUGGUCAUAGUGACCAUCAAAGCGUGGAAUUGCUGGUUGAACAACAAAUGUCGUGCAUUGAAAUAUUGCUGCUGCAAUUUUCUCACGAAAGUUCUUUUUUUUUUUNNNNNNNNNNNNNNNNNNNNNNNNNNNNNNNNNNNNNNNNNNNNNNNNNNNNNNNNNNNNNNNNNNNNNNNNNNNNNNNNNNNNNNNNNNNNNNNNNNNNGUACAAAGCAACUCCAAGUCUUUUACAAAAGACAAAAUACAUAACGUAAAACACACCAUAACUACCCAUGUUCUCCAUAAAGCACUUGCCCCACUAACACCUAAAAACUAGGAUAACCAACACACAUGACUCCACUAACUCUAGUAACUGAAAAACUAAAUCAACAACAUGUGAAAAAGGAAAUAACUGUUAUAUUAACAAGUACAUUGGUGUGAUUGUAAUCCUGUAAUUCUCCGAUUUAUAGUGAAUUGAUUUGCUGACUCUCCCCGUGGACGUAGGUUCCGACAUUCGGACCGAACCACGUUAAUUUUUUUUUCUUUUAUUGUUCCCUAUAGCUCCCGACAUAAUUGCAAAAUAUACGAUCCGCUUCCGCUGAGACACCGAUUUACAACAAUAAUGCAAACAUAAAAGUUCCUCAUUGAUUCCUUGAUUUAUCCUGGAAAAACCCAAUUCAAUUGAAAUUGCCGUAGAAUGAUUGGUUUUUUCACGGGAACUUUAAAAGGAUUUCAUCAAUCCGACGGGUCAACAAGUCUGGAAUUGAAUUUCUAUUUUUGUGCUGAAGGAAGGAUUCCAUGUAACAAUGCCUUAGAUUUUCCUAGACUUACCUUUACCCUGUACACAGCACUACUUCCACCUCUUGUACGACCUAAUCCACCUAAUUUUCACUAAAAAUACAAAAUUACCCUCUGUCAUUUAAUUACAAUAUAAUUGGUAGUCCCAAAUUUAAUUUACUUUCCUUUUUUAAUUUUUUCUAUAUCUAUGUAGGAUCUCCCUACCAUAAUUAUGAAUUUUAUAUGUUUAAUUUUCGUUGAUUGUAGAUUUUCCAUGUAUGUUAAAGACACUAUUUCUUUUUCUUUUUCUUUUUUAUUAUUAGAUAUUACUUCCAUGGAAAUUUAUUUUGUCGAAAAGAGAAAUUUCCAAGACAUCAUUGAUUAAAUUUAUGAAUAAUUUUGGAGUAAAUGAAAUUUAAUUAAAUCAAAACAUUGCAUAAAGUAAGAAACUUUUUUUUGUGAAAAUGCUUUUGGAUUGACAAAAAAUAAUAUCAUCGACAAACUAUUUAUGGAAAAUAUUAAGAUUACUCAUUGUGCAUAAUGUUUUUAGUGUAUUCUUAGAUAUUUCUCUAACUUCUCAUGUGCUCUGUAUAAAAAUAUUUCACCAUUAUAGAAAGGAAAAAUAUAAAUUCUUUGGUAGAGUAAAUAAAGAGAGUUGAUAUAUAUUUUAGUCUAAUAAUUAAUUAAAUAUUCACCAAGAAAGUGAGCUUUUGAUAUAAGAGUAAUAAAAAAUAUAGCUAGGUUGUUAUAAGAUCAAUAAUGAAAAAGAGAUUUUCAGUUUUAUACUAUAUCAAAGAAUUUUUUUUUUCUUUACUGCUAGCAAGAUAAUUUUAUACAAAGCAUGUAAAAAGUUAUGAGAAUAUCUACACUAAAAAAUAAAACAUGUAAAAUUAUUAAUUAUAGCAACUAUUCUAAAUAGAAAAAAAAAAAAAAAGGGGAGUUGGGCCAUUAUAUAGUACGGCAAUUGAAAGAUUGAGGGCAAUUUUAUCUUUUCAGUAUAAAUGGGAGUGAAUUAGUUAUUUAGGGAUGGAAAUUGCACCACCCGCACGUUCUUACUAGCCAAAGUUAUUUCCCUUCUUCUUUUCUAUUAUUGCAUGAGUUACUUUUGCUUUCCUUUUGAUUUUUUUCAUAUGUUUUGGCGCUACUCUUGAUGGGGAAAAUGCCAUAAAAAUCUUAAGUUAUAUUUAACGUAACACCAUUUCGCCAAUUUCUUUCUGGUAAGAUCAUCAUGACUCAAAUUUGUACUAGUAUGACAGACAAAAACUUGUAUCCAUUAAAAGAUCAGCAAUUUUAUUACAUGAAAUCAUGCAUGCACGAUGAGAACAUGUACAUAUGCCAAAUCCGUCGUGGGAUGUAAUCAUAAACGGCUGAUAUUGAUUGCGCCGACUCUCAUUCCUUUCGCCUUCCUUCCCCAUUAGUAUCACUGAACAAGUACUGCUUUUUUUCUGAAGAUGUUCAUGAUUCGCUCUCUUGAUUACCUCCGGAUCCACCUUUCCUUUGACCUCCACCAACUGCUCGUAUAUCUUCAUGCCCACAAGCUCAAAUCCUGCUCAUUCAAAGAAAGCUUCUUCAUCGUUGCAAUCCACGAGCAUCAAGAUAACGCACCCAAAAUGAAAGGGAAAUAUCAAGUAAUUAACCGGUUAGAUGCGCUACCGGUUCGGUUCAUAUACGAUAUACAUAUAGUAAAGUAUGAUUACCUUCCAUUUUGUCUAUGAUCUUCGUGAGCUUUCGCCAACAUCCGUUCGCAGCAACUGAUACUCACACGGAAAACGAGCUACAUACAUCGACAUCUACAGUAAGAUGGUUUUGUUCAUAUAAAGUUCACAUUAGAAGUGGCGUGGCAAAUGAAAGUAUCAUCACCGAAGAAAUUCGAAUUGCGUACAGAGCCUUGUGAAAAUCUUGGGUACGGAAUCGAAUCUUAAGGAGAGAUUGGCUUUGAAGAGGGACUAUUGCUCUCUCUCUCUCUCUACAUAUAUGGAAAAUAUACAUUUAGUAAUUGGAAAUGAGUCUUGAGAAGGAAAGGAAAUCCUGCCGAUUUAUUCAAAGCAUUUCAUUUUCGAUUGGAAUUAGGGUGGAAUGUUUGGUCUUGCAUGGUAACUUUAAGUGAAGAAUCUGGGACUUCCAUUUUUGUUCUCAAGGAUCUGCAUGCGUUGCCUAAUUUGCCUAUUCUUGGCUCUACUCCGCACGGACCGAAUUCGGACGUGUGUAUAUUCGAGUUUCGACAAUUACCUUAUUUUGAGACAUGGUCUCACCGAAAAAAAUUAGGGAAUAAUCUUUGUAAUAAAUCAACGAAAAUCGUUUUCGAUUAAAUGGUUCCUCCGAUAAUGGCAAGUUAUUUUCCACUUCUUCUUUUUUUUUAACUUUUUCAUUUUGUUGCCCAAGUUGCAUGUUCUUUCCUUUUUUGUGCUUGAGCUAAUAUUAUUCUUGAUAGGAAAUAUCAUUAAAAAAAAAAACCCUAAAUUAUGCUGAUUGUAACAUAAAAAUACAUUUUUAGUCGCUAAAAUCCUAAACUCGUAUCAAUGCGACAACAUUAUUUGUCCACCAUAAAAAAAUCCAAAACUUUGUAACUUUCUUUUUUUUUUUUUUUUGGUAAAGAAAAAAAAAACUUUGUAACCUUCUCUUUUUGUUCCACCAAGACCCUAAAACUUAAAUACUCUAGUUUGUAGCAUUGGCACCGCUACAUAUUUGGAGGUUUUGAUGACACAAAAGAAUUUAGGAUAUUGUUGUUACGAUGGGUAUGAUUUAAGAUAUUCUACAACAUAGUAAAAAGUGAAAAUUUUAAAUAAGGGUCCCACAUUUUCUCAAACAAUGGCCGAAAGUAAAUAUUAUUUCAAAUAAAAGCCUGAAGUAAUAAUGUUAGUAUUAAAUAAUGAUUUGAAGUGGUUAUGGUAGUUUCAAAUAAAGGCUUGACCUUGUUAGCCAGCUAAAUAUUCUAGCUGGUCAAGGGUGUUUUCAUCCAAAUACAAUUUUAAUUUUAAAUUAUUUUUAUUCUUUGCUUUUUAUUUUUUCUCUUUCCUUCUUCUUCUUCUUUUUCCGAUGAGGGACUGCAAGCCCUCACCGAUGGCCGUUAGGGUGGCCUCGCCCAAGCGAGGGUCGCCGUGAAGUCUAUCUAUUUUAUUUAGUUAUUUAGUUAAAACUUAAACCAAUGAUCCCAAAUGAGGCCAUCCCUCGCCUGUGGCCAAUGAGGGCAACCAACGCCAAAUCUGGGGAGGGUGUCGGCUACCGACGAAGGAAAAAAAAAACUAGAAAAAGAAGAAAAGAAAGAAAAAAGGAAAAAAAUCAAAGAAAAGUAAAGGAUAGAAAUACUCUUGGCCAGCCGGAAAGUUAGGCCCUUAUUUUAAAUAGACAUAGUUACUUCAUGCCCUUAUUUCAAACAAGAUCUACUUCAUAUCCUUAUUUAAUAAAAUAAUGGAACUUUAAGCCUUUAUUUAAAACAAAGUUCAUUUCGUGCCCUAAUUUUUUUAUUUAAAAAAAAUGAAGGCACUUUAGGCCUUCCUUUGAAAUUUUCCCUAAUAAAAAAUUUAGGCUAUUGAUAUUAUAGGGAGCAAUGAGUUUGGUUUUUAAAUAGUAUUAAUCCUCGAUAAAAUGGCAUAGACAAAUGAAUUGUCACAUAAUUUAAGAAGGAUCUCCUAAUAAAUUAUUAAUAGAAGUAGCAUUACUUACAACAUUAGGUCCAUUUUGCAAUCUCCAUUCGACUUACGGUAAUUAAACUACAUUCCACCCGACAUCGCAGGUUAAAUAGUCAGUGGUUAGUGAAUAUUUUAAUUUACGGUUUGGGCAAUAGAUGAAAUCCUCGUGGGAACUAUUAUCAGAGAAAUAAGAACAUUUUUAUCUAUUUCAGUCAUUUCCCCAGUUUCAUAAACUCUCCAUUCUGCACGUGUCACUUGUUUGUUUGCCCGGCAAAUUCGUCGUGCACGUUGUCAGCCGUCAAAUUUCUCGCCAUUUAAAGCCCACGACCCUCUAGAACGACCCUGUUCUUGAUAUCUCUGUCAGCAAGAACGGGAGCAACAGAGUGUUCCCAUUUCCACCUCUCCAUUGAAGAAGCAGAAGAAGAAGAAGAAGGUCAUGUCAGAGACUCAGUGCUGUGAGAACCCUCCGACGCCGAGCACCAUGAGCGUCGGAAUCGGAUGUGUGGCAGAGAUCGGAGGCUUGAAAGCCUACAUCACCGGCCCCCCU